UUUCCAUUAACUUUUCCAUUAUAUUAUAACAUGUUAUGACCUCAAAAAGAAAUUACAAAAUGAUAUAGUGAGAUACAAACGAUCGAACUAUUAAAGUGACAAUAAUAAGACGAUGCAAGAAUCUGAUCCUAUACUACAGUAAAUAGAUAUUUGUCAGUGGUCAUAUUUUUUUUUAGCAUAAUAAUAAUAAAAAUGAUUAUGCAUACAUUGUGCUUGGGUAUACCUAGAUAUUCUAAGCAAGUCGAUCUUAAAUACAAAUACGUUCUGAAAAGGUACCAAAGAGAUAUCUAGCAACCUCCUCCUCCACCACCACCACCACCACCUCCACAACCUCUUCCGCCACCAUAAGCUCCUCUACCACCACAACCGCCUCCAACAAGAGACGCUCCAACAUUUUCUAAAUCAAGAACAUUGAUUAUGAUAGAUAUUUGGCUAGUGGUAUAUGCUCGUGGAGAAAGUAGUUUAGAAUUAUCUCAAAUGACGUAUUCUUAUAAUAAUCGAAGGAUGCUUGUAUACAUGCAAAUUGUCCGCAUUUAAUUUUCUAAACCAAAGCCAUUUAUGAUCAACGAGAUUUUCGUUUGUAUAUGCUGAAUCGCUGAUCGUAUAUGUAUCAGUCGCGUUUUCAUUCUACGUACAGUUCGUUAAUUUUUCUUUUCUUAUGCAAUUCCUAGGUUGAGGCCAGAAUUUCUGAAAUAUGUUUCACACCGGCAUCCAUCUCGUGUCAUUUUGACACAUUUCAUAUAGAUUAAGAAAUUAAUAAAUUAUAUAAAUAUACUCUUAAAUAAUAUAUUUCUAUAAGAUUUAGUUUCAAAAAUUAUUAUCUUUAAAUGAGGAAUAAAAUAGGAAAUAAGAGUAAAAACUUAUAUUAAAAAUGUGGAAUGUAGAAUGACAUUUUUUUGAAACAAAAUAAAAUUCAAAACGACAUUCUUUAUAAAAUAGAGGAAAUAGCUUCGAAGAACAUAACAACACAAUACUAUACUAUCAUAUUUACGAUUAUAAUCUCACAUGAUUGUAAUAAUAAAAAAGAAGAAGUUAUAACAUGACAUGAUAUAUAUUGAAGUUUUAAAUUAAGAUGUUUCUCCAGAAAUAUACAAAGUAUAGUAAUAAUAGUUCGAAUACGUUGGGAUUAGAAGUUAAGUCCUAAGUAGACACUCACCAAAGAUCAAGAUCGAUAUCUCACUAGCAACCUCCUCCACCACCACAUCCCCCUCCAUGGAAUCAGAUAUACAAAUUGAUUAAAAUACAGUGCCUAGCUAGUGAUAACAACACGUUUUCUAAUUUAGGUAACAACUGAUAGCAUUUGCAAAUUUUUGUAAAAAAAAAAGUUAAAUCCAUUUCUGAAUUGGAAAAAGGUUAAAAAUUGUCAAAAAAAGAAAGAAAAAAAGAUAGUUAUAAAAAAUAGCAUAACUGUAUAUGUAUUUCCACUCGUAGAUAAACUUAAUAUACAUUAGGAAGAAAAAUUAAGAAAAAAUCUAUAUAUACAUUGUUCACUCAAGCUUAAACUAUGGAAACUGAUCAAGAAUUUAAAAUCUCAGGAUUCUUUCUAGUAAUGAUAAAACUUAUUACAAAUAAGAAAGAUACAUGUAAUCCCACUUUUCCACUCUGAAACCAGACUUCCCCGUAUAGAGAUAAGGAAAUAAAUCAUUAAGAUAACAUUUACUAGAUUUUGUGUAAUCUAUUCUAGAUACUACUAUUAGGUUUAGACUUGACAUACUUGUAUAACUACCCUACCCUUAUGAAUCAAUAACACACAUACACUUUUCCAAUUCAUUAUAUGGUAUCAGAGAGCAUAAAGAUCUCUGACCUAAAUUCUUACGAUUGACAUCAGGCCAGCAAUCUGAAAUCUUGUAUAAACCAACAUAGACAUAAAUCUUAGAGCUAACACCAUUCUCAUACUUAAACCUGAUUUCAUACGUAGUUUCUCCUGCAGUGAAGAUUAUUUUUAUUUUUUUUUAUUUUUAUUUUUUUUCUUUCAGUGAAGAUUAUCUUUGUACAAGGAAAAUGGUGGUGAGCUU
rnacentral:lncRNA from 1 species